AUUGAACGCUGGCGGCAGGCUUAACACAUGCAAGUCGAGCGGGGGAGGUUGCUUCGGUAACUGACCUAGCGGCGGACGGGUGAGUAAUGCUUAGGAAUCUGCCUAUUAGUGGGGGACAACUUCUCGAAAGGGAUGCUAAUACCGCAUACGUCCUACGGGAGAAAGCAGGGGACCUUCGGGCCUUGCGCUAAUAGAUGAGCCUAAGUCGGAUUAGCUAGUUGGUGGGGUAAAGGCCUACCAAGGCGACGAUCUGUAGCGGGUCUGAGAGGAUGAUCCGCCACACUGGGACUGAGACACGGCCCAGACUCCUACGUGAGGCAGCAGUGGGGAAUAUUGGACAAUGGGGGGAACCCUGAUCCAGCCAUGCCGCGUGUGUGAAGAAGGCCUUUUGGUUGUAAAGCACUUUAAGCGAGGAGGAGGCUACUGGUAUUAAUACUACCGGAUAGUGGACGUUACUCGCAGAAUAAGCACCGGCUAACUCUGUGCCAGCAGCCGCCGUAACAC
rnacentral:rRNA from 1 species